rnacentral:rRNA from 1 species
GACGAACGCUGGCGGCGUGCUUAACACAUGCAAGUCGAACGGAAAGGCCCUUCGGGGUACUCGAGUGGCGAACGGGUGAGUAACACGUGGGUGAUCUGCCCUGCACUUUGGGAUAAGCCUGGGAAACUGGGUCUAAUACCGAAUAGGACCGCGCGCUUCAUGGUGUGUGGUGGAAAGCUUUUGCGGUGUGGGAUGGGCCCGCGGCCUAUCAGCUUGUUGGUGGGGUAAUGGCCUACCAAGGCGACGACGGGUAGCCGGCCUGAGAGGGUGACCGGCCACACUGGGACUGAGAUACGGCCCAGCCUCCUACGGGAGGCAGCAGUGGGGAAUAUUGCACAAUGGGCGCAAGCCUGAUGCAGCGACGCCGCGUGAGGGAUGACGGCCUUCGGGUUGUAAACCUCUUUCACCAGGGACGAAGCGCAAGUGACGGUACCUGGAGAAGAAGCACCGGCCAACUACGUG